rnacentral:lncRNA from 1 species
ACAGUCAUAGGAAGUACUCACUGGAAGUAACGUCAAAGGCGAUCUCCAGCAACGGAAAACUGAUGGUGUGAAGAGGAUUGGACAGCUAGAAGGAGAAGGAGACAAAGGAAGAGUGUUAUCGUUCAUUUGCCAGCGGCCCCAUUACGGAGCAGAGUUUUGGGUGAGCCGGGAAGUACGAGUACAGGAAGCCGCAAGCAGUCGUGACGGCAACAUUAUUCCUCCGGCCCUUCAUCUAUCAACAACGCCCAACGAAACCCCAGGAUAAGUCCUAGUAAACCGUGGUUCUGACCCUAUUUCACGUAGAGUGUGUGGAGUGCAGUGGGUGAGUCCUUGUCUUUGCUGUGAGUGUGUACACUUGAAAUCUUGCAGUGGUAUGCUGUGGUUGUGUUGUCAGUAGCCACCCUGGACUGGACGAGUCGUGGGGGAGACCAGUGACCGUUGAGGCUGGUGAAGCGCCAUUUUCAUCUAAAUGCCAUUUUUUCGACCCCUGCAUGGAGACCCAAAUGUAACGUCCUGUCUAGACCCUUUCAGAAUACCCUGGCUCUGUGGAAGCGGUGGUGAAGAAUACACGUAAGCAAGACUGGUGUGAGUAAAAGCCAAAAAUUAUACCUAUAUGCAAGGAGGAAGUUUUACUGUUGCAAAUUGGCUGUGUGGAUUUACUUUACCUGUUGUGGAGCCUCUUCAAAGGUUCACCCCGGUCCAGAUCCCUUAAACUGCAAAUAGAAGAGAGGAGAGGGAAGCGUUCGGCCCGGUGCGACAGUGUUUAACUUUCCCCGACGCACAGGAAAUCCCUGUGGAGGACUGCGCUACGACGAUUUACUACUCCAGGUCUGACAGUUCAUCUACUUACUGUAUCGCAGUAUUUCACCGUAAGCCCACCGCCCAGGAGAAGUAUUCUAGGAGAAUAGAGCCCCAGUUGCCUGUGGAAUACUUACCUUUGUCCAUUGCUACGAAUCACUAAAGGGAGAAUAGAGCACCAGUUGCCUGUGAAAUACCUACCUUUGUCCAUUGCUACGAAUCACUAAAGUGAGAAUAGAGCCCCAGUUGCCUGUGAAAUACUUACCUUUGUCCAUUGCUACGAAUCACUAAAGUGAGAAUAGAGCCCCAGUUGCCUGUGGAAUACUUACCUUUGCCCAUUGCUGCGAAUCACUAAAGUGAGAAUAGAGCCCCAGUUGCCUGUGGAAUACUUACCUUUGUCCAUUGCUACGAAUCACUAAAGUGAGAAUAGAGCCCCAGUUGCCUGUGAAGUACCUACCUG